rnacentral:lncRNA from 1 species
ACAUUGUGUGGAAAUGCCUUACACAGAGAGGGAUAUUUGGCAAAACGGGAUCUUCAGACCAUCCUUUGCCCUCCUUGGAUGCACCAAAGAAGACAUCACCUACUCCGAUGCUUUAAAUAAUGACAUGUAUGUCUGGAAAAGGCUCAAUUUAGUCUGCAGUAUUCAAGGCACCAAUAGUGCUAGAAUCUUUAGCACGUAUGCUUGUGAAGAAGGCUUUGCCUUUGGUAAGCUAGUUGGGUGUCUGUGACUAUAGGAUACUGAUUUCAAACCAAUAUCCAAAUUUGAUCUCAGGGAGACAGAACAAGGAUAUAAA